GAUGGCAGAAUAUUGCAUAUCACUGUAAAUGGUAAAAUGAAUUUUAUUCUC
rnacentral:tRNA from 1 species